CUUUGUUCUAGACAGAGAAGCUUGGAAGAGAUCAGAGAGAAUUAACCCUCAGACACGCAGCACUUCGGAGAUUAUCGAUGGGCUGGCAGUAUUGGGAUGCAGGUAAUGGCCAUUCCCUGUGCCUUUAGGGAAGAGUUCACCAGAAUAUACCAAGAUGGAGAAUUAAUGUGGAUUAUUACAACUUCUAAGAGCCAAAUAUCAAUGGAUUUAUGUUCUCUACCUGUACAGUUGUAGACUCGCAAGCUGAUGGAGGAGUUUGGAGAUAUUAUUAUGAAGGGUUCAUCAUUUAAAUCUUGGGAACAACAGUUAAUUCAUGUGAGGACAAACAAAGGAUAUAAGCUAAAUUGAUCUCUAUGGAAUUUAAUUUUACAAAUUGGAUUGCUUGUGAAGAUGAUGGCAUUUGGAUAAUUCUACUAUCAAGAUUCAGAAUGAAUUCCAGCUUGCCCUCUCUAAAUUUGCACCAACGUGAAACCAACUCUAGAGAAGCAACAAAGUACCGUACAGAAUCUCCCAGUUUAACUAUUGUUCCUGUUUGGGUUUGAUCAGCAAUGGUGGAACCUCAUGAUCUUGGAUCAAACGGAAAAUGGCUGAUCCCCAGCAAAAACCCUUCAAACAAGUAAAGCAGAUAAUCAGCAGGAUAGCUGUUCAAACAAACUCGGGAUCUCACCAACUUCAGUGAGUCAACAGUCAAGAUGGAGAAACUUCACAAACCAAACCACGAGAUGGUCGAAACUGUAAAUGGCAGCCCAGAUGUGAUCUCCCUCAAACCCUGAUUUCAGUGAGUCUCUCUCUCACUGCACCCCCCAGGUCAUCUCCUCUGCACAGAAGCUCUUCAGCCACGUUCUCAAACAGACUCGCUACCACAGCCACAUCUCCUUCCUCAGCACCUGCCUAAGGAACCGACUGAUCCCACACGGACUCCGAACUACAUUCCAACCAACAAAAUUUGGACCCAACCAGGACAACCUGUACCUACAACAAAUCCGAAGCCUCCAGCAACAGACCUCCCUCCGGAUCCUCCGCUCCACCCUUGCAGCCAUGCGACAACUACACGACGGCUGGAGGAGGAGCGCCUCAUCUUCCGCCUGGGAACCCUCCAACCACAAGCCUGCCAGUCUUUGCUCAACGGUAAAGAUUUGACUUGAGUCAGAAAGAUGUGGAUUCAGAUUCCACUUUGGAAAUCGGCCUUUCACUUCAGUAGUCAAACUGUGGAAGACUGCUGCCUUUCAGGCUCUGACCACGCUUUGAAACCUCCCUGUAAGGGACCAAUUUCGAUAUGGAUGUCUAGACAGUAAACAGCAGGAGCCUUUUAGAUCACCUGGCACUUCACAGAGAAGACUGAUCCUGGUUUCACCUCUUAUUUACUCUCCAUCAACAAUCAAUGGAGAGCCAUCAAGGAAAGGAAUCCUGAUUGUCUUGCUCCAACCCCAGCAAGUUGCAGUGCAGGCAAUCCAUUCACAAACAUAGGACAUGGAUGGAAACAAGCAUUAUGUACGAUGCAAGAGGCAGAACAACGUGAAGUCAAAUGGAAGUGUGUUCCUGUGGAUGUUGAAAAUAUGAGCAGCAAACCAUUGGAUCCCAGGAACAUGUUAGCAAUGUUAACUCACUGAAGAACAGCUAAACAUCCUAAUCUGACAUUUUGAAAGCUUUAGAUCCAGGAACUGCAAAUUCUGAAUUGUCAUGUCUUAUAUGUGUAUGUUGAGUAAUGCAAUAUUAGCCUAUAUGACAUGUAAUUCUGUGCUU